rnacentral:rRNA from 1 species
UACGGGGGGGGCAAGCGUUGUUCGGAAUUACUGGGCGUAAAGGGCUUGUAGGUGGCCAACUAAGUCAGACGUGAAAUCCCUCAGCUUAACUGGGGAACUGCGUCUGAUACUGGAUGGCUUGAGUUUGGGAGAGGGACGCGGAAUUCCAGGUGUAGCGGUGAAAUGCGUAGAUAUCUGGAGGAACACCGGUGGCGAAGGCGGUUCUCUGGGCAUGUACCUGACGCUGAGGAGCGAAAGUGUGGGGAGCGAACAGG